AAUAAAGAUUAACUUUUUUUGUGUAAUAAUAAAAAAAGCAAUAUGCACAACCUGUCAGUGGGUAGCAGGGUGAAAUCGAAAAUAAUUUGCGACAACAGUUGCAUGGUAGACAUCCAGUGUGUGUGAGAGAAUGUAUGUGUGUGUCUGUGUAUGUGUGUGUAUAUGUGUGUGUCUGUGAGUGUGUGUGAAAUCAGUGAGAGUCUGUUUGUCAUUGAGUGUGUGUGUGACUCUCAGUGUGUGUCUGUCAAUGAGUGUGUGUGUGUUUGUCAAGGAAUAAGUGUGUGUCAGUGAAUGUGUGUGUGUCAAAUCAGUGAGUCGGUGAGUGGCAUCUGUGUGUUUGUCAUUGAGUGUGUGUGACUGAAACUGUAUAUCUGCCAGUGUGUGUCUGUCAGUGAAUGUGUGUGUCUGUCAGAGUGGGUGCUUAAAGGGACAAUAUAGGCGCCAAGACCACUUUAGCUCAUUGAAGUGUUCAGGUUGCAGUGUCCCAGUCCCCAUAACUCUGCAAGUGCAAUUAUUGCAGUUUUUUAGAAAGGGUAAUUGAAGGGUUAACUCCACCUCUAGUUACUGUCUGACAGCCACUAGAGGGACUUCCGGGUAGUUAGAAAACCAAAUGUCCAUGAGGACAUCCAACUUUUGCUAAAUCCCCAAAGAAUUGAUACAAUGCCUUCCUAUGGGGAAGUCUAAUGCAAGCAUGGACUAGGAGCCUGACUUAUUUAACCCCUUCAGUGCUGAGUGAAGGGGAACUAUAGGGUACUAUAGGGCCCGCAAAAAAUCCCUUUAAGGAGUAGGUAC